rnacentral:rRNA from 1 species
AUUGAACGCUGGCGGCAGGCCUAACACAUGCAAGUCGAACGAGUGGCGGACGGGUGAGUAAUGUCUGGGAAACUGCCCGAUGGAGGGGGGUAACUACUGGAAACGGUAGCUAAUACCGCAUACCAUCGGAUGUGCCCAGCUGGGAUUAGCUGGUAGGUGAGGUAACGGAUCACCUAGGCGACGAUCCCUAGCUGGGCUGAGAGGAUGACAAGCCACACGGGAACGGAGACACGGUCCAGACUCCUACGGGAGGCACCAGUGGGGAAUAUUGCACAAUGGGCGCAAGCAGGAGGCAGCCAUGCCGCGUGGAGGAAGAAGGCCGUCGGUGUGUAAAGUACUUUCAGCGGGGAGGCGUGACCCGCAGAAGAAGCACCGGCUAACUCCGUGCCAGCAGCCGCGGUAAUUC